rnacentral:lncRNA from 1 species
UUGAUUUUUUUUUUCUUUAAACCAUAAAUCUAGUAUUUAUAAUAAAAAUAAUUUUUGAAAAAUAUAAUCUUCGUAAAGUAUAUUUGGUCUACAACAUGAAUGGGUAUAAAUAAUUAAUUAGUUGUGCUACAUUGUCCUCAUUGUUAAUUAUAAUAUUUCUUAUAAGAGCAUUUAGAACAAUUAACAUUAUUAUAUUAUCAUCAAUAUUCAUAAAGCUAUCACUUAAAUUUAAAAAAAGAAUCUAAGAUGUUGAUGUUUUCUUGCAUAUCUUUAAAAACUUAUCAACUUAAAAUUUUCUUUAAACCAAAUUUGUUGUUAAACAAAUCUUACAAUAUUGUCAAGAAAGUGUGAUUUUUUGCAAAUGUAACAUGUUUUUAAUUACUUUUUACAUCCAACUAUAUAAUCUAUUUCAUUGAAAGAUAUCAAUUUAAAAUUCCAAACAUGAAAUGAUAAAUCUUAGUUUUAAAACAACAAAGACCAAAAAAUGUAAACACAAUUAAGCAUUUCAAAAUAAACAUAACAAUCACAAUCACAAACCAAAUACAAUCUUGUAUUGUAUUUUUAUAUAAAAAUAAAAAUAAAAUAGUCUACUGUAAUUAAAAAAAAUCCUCCAAAUAUUUAAAUGUAUAAGAAUUUUUUAUUGCCAAUGUUAUGAUAACCAUUAGUUAUGAUAUUACAUUAGUUAUGAUAAUCAUUAAAAGUAUCUAUCUAAAUGUCCUACUUCUAAUUCUCUUUUUUACUUCACAAUUUAAUAAUGUGUUGAUAGUCUAAUUAAUAUAUAUAAUACCUUACAACUUUGUAGAAGUGUGGCAACAAAAGAUAAUAGUUCAAAUUUAAAGAUUCUAAUCACCUUCAAAGAGCAAGUUGGUAUGUCAAAAAGCUUAAAUUAAAUUAAUUCUAUACUUGUAGGUACAACAUCAUCAAUCAUUGCAUACAAAUUUUUAGUAGAUUUUUACUACAACAAAGCAUUUAAAUUCUAAGUGUUUUAUUGUGACGUGAACCAACAUUCAUCUAUUAAAGUCAAAGUGUAUUCAUACCUAAUUUAAAACAAUAUUUUUUUAUAUUUUUUAAUAACAAUGUAAACACUUGUCAUACUAAAACAAUUCACAAUUCUCUCCAUGUUAACACACUAUGACACUCAACAUCAACCAACUUAUUUCACACACCACCUACCUUUUCACACACCAUCCACCUAUUUCACAAAAUUAAAGCAUUAAAAUUAAUAAGUCAAAACGUACAUUCUAAAGAAACUAAACCACAUAUGGAAGCAUCAUUAAAUAGCCAUACUUGUUAUUGAUUAAAGUUAUUUGGACCUUGGUUAUAAAUGGUAGCAAUACUAAAGAAUAAUAAUUCAAGGUAUAUAUACUUUUUGAAAAAUUUGACAUUCUUUAGGAUCACAAAGCGUUGAGUCUUGUUAAUAUAUUCAAAUAUUUCAAAUUUAUCCUUAAUAGUGAUAAAGAAUUUAAAAUUGGUGCUUAUAUAUUGUCUUAUUCUUUAAUAUAUUGUAACAUAUACUACUUUUUAAAAUUUCUAAAUAUAAUGCUUCAAAUACUUAAUUCUAAUAAUAUUACAAAAUUAUUUGUUUUUGAUAAUUCCAACAAAUACAAAAUAUCCAAAGUUGAAUUUGACAAAGUUAUUAAUAAUCUACAAUUACUUCUACAAAAUAUUGAAAUGAUGCUUUUUAAGAUCAUUUUAAUGACAUGGUCAAGAUACACACUUCAUAGUAUAGGCCUUAUGAUUCAUCUUGUGCAACCAUGGUACUAACCACAUCAAUUUUCACACCACCCACCAAAUUUGUGAAAACAAAGAAUUCAACUUUGUUACAUUGAAUUCAAAAUUCAAAGAUUGCAAAGAUCUUAUGUAGUAGAUGUCACACAAUUAUUGAUUGUUAAAUUACUCACCUUGCAAGAUUGGUGAUGCAUUACAUAUGUUAAAAAAAAUUCAACAAGUUUUUUCUUUCAUAAAAAUUAUGUCAAUUACAAUGACAAACAUCUAUUUUUUAUUGAUUAUAUGCCAAAGGUAACAAAGGAUAGAAAAUUACUAAGUUAAGAAAUGCUCUACUGAAUUGCUUUAUUUUUAUAAAUUUUACAAAAAUUAUCCACUUAAAUUUUUUAGAUACUAUACUAUACUAUACUAGUAAUUGAGAAUUAUAUUCUCUCACAACCACUACAACCACCAUUCACAUUCACAUUGUCUGAAGGAGCACACUAUCAACAAAAAAUUCACCAAAACAAUUGCACAACAAACAUCAUCCAAUUUUUGCCACUAAGGUAUCCACAACUUAGCACAAAGACUUCAAAUUGGUGGACUUGUUACUAAACAGAAAUCAACAUCACAACAAGAAGCCAUAUCUGCAUCUUACAACACAUUGCCACAAGGUAACCAUCCCACAUCAGUACCCUUAAAUUAAUCAAGAGCAUCGAGAGAGCCACUAAGCAGCAGUAGAGCCUAUGUGGUUUCCACCAACCCAAGAUGCCAACUCAUCAUUUCCCCUAAAAGUUAAACCCAUCUUUCUCCUCUCCCCUACCAAGUCACUUUCUUCUAUGAAAAGCUUUUUUGUUCCCAAAUAUCUUGUCACCUAAACCUUCCCCCCAUUUUUAUCCAUGAGAAGUGCAAUCACCCAUACAGCAAUGGGAUUGUGAUCCCCACACACCAACAUUUAAAUCUUCGCUAUUUUAAAUUACAAAGGAGGCAACGAUUCAGUACAGGGGACAAACGCGACAAACGAUAGUUCCCAAAAAAACGAAGCCAAUGCAAAAACCACACAUGCAUUAUUCAAAAAUCAAUGUAAAUUACUGCAGGAAAAUCUGUAAUCCAUAACCUCCUCUAAACCUUCAAGAGCCAGUGACACAUAACGCACUUCCCAGUAAGCAGCUCCUUGGUACUACAUACACCUAAGCCCAUGUACACUUUCCUAGCCAGUCCCCACUUUACAAUAAUUUGAGAGUACAUGAGGAAAACUCUCACCUCCCAUCCAACCCCUGCACCCUACAAAUUUCCUCUGCACAUCAACAAUGCAUGUCGAACGCUUCAAUUGAUUCAAUCAGUUCUUGCUCCAUGAAGAUCACUAUCCAAAAAUGCAUACUUAUCUACUCGUCUGAGCUACUAAAAUCUCCGCAUCCAACCUCUGCUCCUCUCACCAUCCUCCACCACUUCUCCCAACCGCAACCACCACCACACCAAUCUCCAGACUCNNNNNNNNNNNNNNNNNNNNNNNNNNNNNNNNNNNNNNNNNNNNNNNNNNNNNNNNNNNNNNNNNNNNNNNNNNNNNNNNNNNNNNNNNNNNNNNNNNNNNNNNNNNNNNNNNNNNNNNNNNNNNNNNNNNNNNNNNNNNNNNNNNNNNNNNNNNNNNNNNNNNNNNNNNNNNNNNNNNNNNNNNNNNNNNNNNNNNNNNNNNNNNNNNNNNNNNNNNNNNNNNNNNNNNNNNNNNNNNNNNNNNNNNNNNNNNNNNNNNNNNNNNNNNNNNNNNNNNNNNNNNNNNNNNNNNNNNNNNNNNNNNNNNNNNNNNNNNNNNNNNNNNNNNNNNNNNNNNNNNNNNNNNNNNNNNNNNNNNNNNNNNNNNNNNNNNNNNNNNNNNNNNNNNNNNNNNNNNNNNNNNNNNNNNNNNNNNNNNNNNNNNNNNNNNNNNNNNNNNNNNNNNNNNNNNNNNNNNNNNNNNNNNNNNNNNNNNNNNNNNNNNNNNNNNNNNNNNNNNNNNNNNNNNNNNNNNNNNNNNNNNNNNNNNNNNNNNNNNNNNNNNNNNNNNNNNNNNNNNNNNNNNNNNNNNNNNNNNNNNNNNNNNNNNNNNNNNNNNNNNNNNNNNNNNNNNNNNNNNNNNNNNNNNNNNNNNNNNNNNNNNNNNNNNNNNNNNNNNNNNNNNNNNNNNNNNNNNNNNNNNNNNNNNNNNNNNNNNNNNNNNNNNNNNNNNNNNNNNNNNNNNNNNNNNNNNNNNNNNNNNNNNNNNNNNNNNNNNNNNNNNNNNNNNNNNNNNNNNNNNNNNNNNNNNNNNNNNNNNNNNNNNNNNNNNNNNNNNNNNNNNNNNNNNNNNNNNNNNNNNNNNNNNNNNNNNNNNNNNNNNNNNNNNNNNNNNNNNNNNNNNNNNNNNNNNNNNNNNNNNNNNNNNNNNNNNNNNNNNNNNNNNNNNNNNNNNNNNNNNNNNNNNNNNNNNNNNNNNNNNNNNNNNNNNNNNNNNNNNNNNNNNNNNNNNNNNNNNNNNNNNNNNNNNNNNNNNNNNNNNNNNNNNNCGAGGCACUCUUUCCACCCGGAGUCUCCGAUCAGCAACAGCUUGAAAAGGUAAUCACUGCCAAAAACCACCACCCACGUCCAUCAGUCACGACUCAUCAUGCUCCUCAUCCUGUGGGCCAAAUUCUGCUCGUUUGUCACCAUCAAUUCAUAUCUGCAUACACCACCAUAACCCAUCCCAACCACCUCCUGCACCUUUCUUGAUCAGACCCACCACGCUUUACCAAGUUUGAACCCCACACCGAACAUGCCCGGACACAAUUCACCCAAACCCUCAAAACCACGCUACACUACCCAUCCACCGCUGCCCGGCGCAACAUUUGGCACGCGUAUUCACACACUCCACGACAUAAACCCUAAAACGACAAGAUCACUCCGCACACCCUCCCGAAGAUUUGCUCUUAUCGUGCGCGAUAGUCAAGCGACCAUCAAACUACCACCUUGUGCAGACCACGUCCCAAAUACACACACAGUGCCCAGCAACUUCAACAAUCAAAAGCUUCGUCCAACUCAACAAGUCUAACGUCCAGUACGCCACUGACCAUUCCACUCCGACAUCCAACAACAUCUCGCAGGUCUUCCACCGAUGGCGAAGGGGUUGAGCAACCGACAAUGUUCCAGCGACACGCACUUUACCAUCCAUGGUUGUACAAUCCCAUCACCCUUUCACAGCGAAAACCACUCCACAGGUCGUUCGAUACUCUCUACCAACCCACCGAAGCCUUAAUUGUCAUGCUUUGCACGCCAUAACAUGCCCCUCAUAAGGACUCCGAAAACAAAAUCACGCUUCGACACAGACAAAUCGUCAAAAGCACUCAGCUACAUAUACGUUGCAAACAAACUAAUUGAGACUUUCAAAAGUCAAAAUCACAAAAAAAAGAAGAAAAGUCGGGGUUCUCAAGACUCUGAUAAAGCUUCGCUUCUGACACCAAGACCACCAUCUUCUAACCACGCAUGCAUCUGAAGCUACUCUGUCCACUCACACAUGUACCAUAACACACCCACACUCCCCGUUUCCACAAUGUCAUGCCACCACCCCAAUCCCCACCAGCUCUACCAUCGAACUUUCUCACAAUCUACAUUCAGACCACCCACACAACCUCAAUGAUCCAUCCAUUCCACUACCAGUACUUCAAACACACACACACACACACACACACACCUUCCCAACCCCCACUUUCCAUGCUCCACACACACCAUCACGAUCAACUCAUCGACAUCUCCACAAAUGCCACACAAACAUCCCAAAGGUCCUCCAUAACCACACAUCCCCGAACUAACCCAACACAACCCUCUCUACACCACCACCACCACAAGAACUGCACUACCAACACCAACACCAACACAACUUCUCACCAAAUACCCAAAACACACACACACACACACACACACAAACACUCACUAUUCGGGAUUCAUGGUGCCUUUCUUUCGGAUCGGCCUUCUGGGCUAUCUCCCUGCCUUCAACCAAACUUCUGCCACUCCCCGAUCUGCACCCCACUUCAGCAAGGAACACAACGCCGAUCCGAGAUCACGACCGACACAAAAACUGACCCCAGAACGACAAAGACGCAAAGGAAGACGAGGCCACAGACAGGAAAGUGUUGAAAGGGGAAGGGUCGUUGUGAAGGGGUCGUGGCUCUAGCUCAGGCUAUGGCGUCAAGCUUGUGGUUCUAGUGGCAUCAAGCUUAUGGUUCUGGUGGCUGUGGCAAACUCCCUGCUCCCUUUCCACUCUUUGAGGCCACACAUCAUUCUCCAACUAACAGGCCCCUUGUAUCUUCGCUUCCAAAAGAUUUCUGUGUCGUUCUAUAAUAUGUAAUACAAGUGGUAGAUUUUCCUAGUCCGUGACUUGCAGCGUGGACUCCAGCGCGGGAAUCCACGUCAGUUUUGUGUCGAGUUGGAUCUGACGUGGACUCUGUAUUUUUGAGUGUUACUGAAUGCAGGGGUGAUUCCUUUGGAUUCACUGUGCGGAAUCUACGUGGAAUCCUGAUUGGUUUCUAUUUAAUUGCUAGGUUUUUUUGUCUUUUGUCUUGUGGGUUUUCUAUCUUUGAACAUUUUUUUUUAAUGCGUGUGUGAAUUCAUUCUUCAGGAGUGGUUGGUGAUGCAGUUUUUUUUUUUUUUUUUUUUUUUCACUUUGCUUCAUGGACCCAUUUGUAUGCUUUCUUUGCAUCGUAGAUUACAUCAGUACGACACAAUUGUGUUUGGGUGAAGAUCACUUUUUUUUUAUAUUUAUAUAUAUUUAUAUAUUCAAAUUGAAAAUGGAAUAGCAUGCAUACAGGUUAGAAAACUUCUUCUUCUUCUUCCCCUUUUAAUUUAAUUUAAUUUUGUUUUUUUCUUUUCUUUUCUAUAUUUCAACCUUUGGAAUUGCGUAGACAGCACUAACAAAUUGCCAAGUACUGCCUUGAGAUCUACACAAAAUUAAGGACAAGUAUCAAAGGGUGUUUCAACUCCCAAGGACUAUUCUAAACUUAAAUGGGGUGUCUUGGGACCAUGAAACAUGUACUCCACACAUUGUCUCAUUCCUUAAAAGAUAAGUUAUGGUGACACCAUCCAUAGAAGUUUUGGAUGUGUUUACUGGUGUUUUUAAGAAGUUUUAAGAAUAUACUAAGAAUUUUAUGUUGUAUACAGAAUUUUACAUGUUUCAAGUGAUUCAAUUUAUUUAUUUAUUUUUAAAUCUGUAAUUGUGAAGAUGUUUUUAGAUCUUGAAAGUUUCACAAAAUAUUCAAAUAUUAAAACUACAAGAUCAUAUAAAAUAGCUCAGAAUAAGUAUUAUCAUUUUUAUUGUUUUUAUUUUUGCUUAACAAUUUGAGUCUUUUAAUUUGAUUUUAAAAAAUAUAUAUUAUUAUAACCAUUUAUUAAUUUUGUAUAUGGAUUAUUAAAAAGCUUAAGAAUUUUUUAUUUCAACUUUAAGUAAAUUGUAGCUUUAAAUCUCAAAUAACAUUUAUUAACAAUAAUCAUGAUAAGUAUCAUUUAUUUUGAAAUUAUUUUAUAUUAAUUUGGUGAUUUUCUUUGCUAAAAAAUAAUCCUUCAAUAUCUUUUCUAUAGACUUUAUAUUUUCUGAAUAUUAAAUUAUUAUAUGUGUACAUUCAUAAUUAUUAUGUAUACACACAAUCUUAUCUAAAAUUAUCAAUAAAAAAAAAUAGGUAUUUUAAAGAAAUUGUUUUUAUCUACCAUGUCAAAUAUUAAAAUAAGUUACUUUGUAGAAGAUAUUACCUUAGAUAAGUUGCUAAUAAUUAAAAGAUUGACUCUUAGUAUAUAGUAAAGACAUCCUAUGGAUAUAAGACGAGGUCAAGGGCCAAGAGUCAAAGUCAAGAGGAUAAAAUAUAAAUUUAAGAAUAUUCAAAGACUAUGUAAGAAUAAUUAGUAUUUAACAUAAGAUACCUUCUUAAUUAGUGAUAUGUCAAAAGAUUCUAAAACCAUUCAAUACUCUCAUCGUAAAUAAGAUGUCAAAGGGUCUUAGGACUAUGUUUAUAAAAAUUAAAGAGUGGAAGUUGUUUUUUAGGGCCACAACCAUCACCUAUAAGUAAUGAAUAUUAGAAGUAAAAGAUAUCUUAUUCUACACUUUCUUUGUGUAUAAUCUUAUUAAUGCUAUAUAUUAUAAUUUCAAAGUUCUUUUUUUUCAAUAAGUUAUGGGUCCACUCACCUUUAGUUUUGAAUUUUGAAGUUCUUUGAAGUCUUUUUUGUUGUAAAGAGUAGAUCUUAUAGUUAUUGCUGAUAUUAGGAUUUGGUAUCUUCUAAUGCCUUUUUUGCAUCUAAUUUUUGAUGUAGUUUUGCUCUUAUUUGUUUUUUAGUGCAUUCAUGGUCUUAGAGAUUGUUAGAUACCUUAGAAUGAUGUUUUAAAAUCCUAGUAAUGUGUUUCUUUGUUGAGUUUCAACAUUGAUAUACAAGAGAUUUAGAUAGAGUAUAAGUCUUGUGAGAAGUCUUAUAAGUGAAGUUAAGAUUUAUUAAAGAGUCAAAUCACUAGUUUACUUACAAAAAAGGUAUUUUAGGUUUCUAAGAUAGCAAUAUCUUCUUAUUGAUUUUGAAAGAUCUAUCUUUUUUUUUUUUCUUGAUUUUCUUUGAUAUACUUCUUUUUUAGACAUGGCUUUAAGAAAGGGUGAGAGCUUUAGAGUGAUUGAGAAGUUUAGAGGUGACAACUUCUACCAUUGGAAGAAAAAAAUGAACCUUUUAUUGACUUUAUAGGACCUUUGAGACACUAUUGAUGAAAGUGAAGAAUCUCUAAAGAACAAUGUUGAUAUCAUGGUAAAGAAAGAGUAAAAAUGUUGAAAAAAGAACUCUUUUGGAUUGAUUGCAAAAAAUCUUCAUGGUGCUAAUAUUUCACAUAUAAUUAUUUGCAAUGGAUGAACAAAAGCAUAGAAGUCUUUAUGCAAUAUCUAUAAAAGUAGAAAUCUUACCAAUAUUCUAUAAAUAAGGAUGAAGUUCUUAACAAUAAAGAUGGAAGAAAGAGAUGUCUUCAUAGGUCAUAUCAAUAAGAUAAAAAUACUUGCAAAUCAAUUAGAAGUUGUUGUCCUACCAAUUUUUGAUAGAGAAAUUUGCUUGACAUUAUUUAUGAACCUUUUGGAAUCCUAUAACUAAUUUAAUGUAGCAUUAGAAUCUAUCAACAUUAAGGAACUUAUCAUGAAUUAUAUCACGUCAAGACUUCCUUAUGAAAUAACCAAGAGAAAAGAAAAUGAGCUUCAAAGUAGAGAUUCAAUUCUAUUCUUAAGACAAGACAAAAGUAACUAUUUUUAUUAAUGUGAUAAUUUAAAAAGAAAUAUGAGAAAUUACUAUAUUUAUAAAAAAAUCAUGUCAAUUUAUAAGAAAUUACUAUAUUUAUAGAAAAUCAUAUCACUUUGUAAAAAAAUUCUAUAAAGUCAAGAAAAUAGAUAAGAAGAACGUAAAUAAUCUUCAUAAUAGUUUUGGUAGAAAUGACUAUGCUUUCAUAACAAGUAAAGGAGCCUCUAUGCCUACCAUGUUUAAGUGGAUUAUAGAUUUGAAUGCUAUUAAGGACAUGAUACCAUAAAAGUAUUUAUUUGAUAUUAAUGAAGCAAUUUCAACAACAAAAAUUUGGUUCAAAGACAAUGGUAUGGUGUAAAUAAUUAAAAUUGACUCCAUUAUAGUAGAGAUUGUUGUCAAGGAUAAAAUAAAGAAGAUCAUAUUAAAGAAAGUCUUACACAUGCCAAAAAUGAAGAAGAAUCUCUUUUUGGUGAGCAAACUUGUAUUAUAUGGUCAUAAGAUUUAAUUUGACAUAAAUGGCUAUUUUAUGAAGAUAUUGGAUGGACAAGAUGUUGCCAAAGACUUUAAAAAUAGUAACAUCUACUUUUUUAAUUAUAAAAAUGUCAAUGGAGUUAAAGUAGUAAUAUUUAUUGAAUUUCUUUAAGAUCAAGAUAAAUUUGAAAUUUGACAUCAAUUAUUUAGUUAUUUAAAUAUCAAAAGCAUGAAGAAUCUCUAAUCUAUAGUAAGUAGCUUGGAUCUUAGUCAAUUUAGCUACAAUGCAAUGACACUUAUUUGUGAAGGUUAUAUACAAGGUAAACAACAAAGAACUUUAUUUUUAAGUAGUGUUGCAAUACGUAUUAGCAAAUUAUUGAAGAUUUUAUAUUUUGAUAUUUAUCAACCAAUGAAGAUGCCAUCAAUUAGAGAAGUAAAUUACUUUGUCAUAUUUAUUGAUAAUGUUUUAAGAAAGAUGUAGAUUUACAUUCUUAAAAUUAAGAGUGAAUAUUUCUCCAGAUUUAAGAAUUUAAAGUACUUAUGGAAAAGCAAUAUGAAUGGAAGUUCAAAAUAUUAUACAAAGACAAUGGAAGUGAGUAUAUGUAAAAGUAUUCUAAUGAAUUUUUGAAGAUUCACGGUAUUAGAAUAGAAACCUCUUUUCUUUACAUUUUACAACAAAAUAAAGUUGCUGAAAGAUCAAAUUAUACCAUUGUAGAGAUGGUAAGGAAUAUGCUUCAUAUGCAAAAUCUUAGGCAUGAGUAUUGGACCAAAGCUAUUUUAAAUAAAAUAUAUAAAAAUAAUAGAUUUCUUAUAAGUAUAUUUACAUCAAUGAUUCUAUAAAAAGCUUAGAAUGGCAAAAAAUCUUAUGUUUUAUACAUGAUGAUUUUUAAAUGCAUUGCUUAUACAAAAAUAACCAAUUGUAUGAAGUCCAAACUUGAUACAAAAGGUACAAAAUGUGUGUUUGUUAGAUAUUGUAGAGAUAUUAAGGCAUAUAAGCUAAUGUAUUUAAAAACCAAAAUAUUCAUCAAGAAUUAUAAUGUAGAACUUUUGGAGCAUAAAAAUGCUUGUGAGCACUUGGAGAUGUAUCUAAGUGGGAGUAAUGAUGUGUUUGUGGAUACAUCUUUGAUUUUAGCAAAGAAAAAAAGAGAAGAUGAUGAAAAUGAAGAUGGUGGAAAUAUAAAUAAAAAUGAAGUGUCAGCAAAGAUAGGCCAAAGUGUGUCUAUAAUUGCUAAAAUCAAGAAUAAACACAAUCAAGAUGUUGAAGAUAUUAAUGAUGAAGAAUACCAACUUUUGAAUAUGAAGAGAUAAGUUUUAAGAAAAAAGAAGCUUAUAAGAGAUCUUGAAAUGUAUAAAAGUGAAUCUUCAUCAAGUAAAGAAAGUAUCCUAUGAAAGAAAGUAAAUAACUUGGUGAAUGAUAGAAGAAUCACAUCUUUCUUCAAGUAAGUAAAGAAUAUGCUAGUAUUGCACUUUAUAUUGAUCCAUUAGAUUUAUAUGAUGCAAUGAAGUCUAUGGAUGCUAUAAAGUGAGAGAAUGGUAUGAAAGAAGAGUGCAAAUCAUUUAUAGAUAAUGAAAUAUGGAAAUUGAUUCGACUUUUAUCAAAUUAAUUUUUGAUAACUUAUAAUUAAGUAUUUAAAACCAAAAAGGAUGCAAUGAACAAUCUUAUGAGAUACAAAGCUGGAUUGAUUGCCAAAAACUAUUCACAAGUUAAUAGUAUUAAUUUCAAUGAGAUAUUUGUUCUUGUAACUAAAUUCACCACCAUUAAAAUUAUUGUGACAAUUGGAACAAUAAUGAACUUGGAGAUGCAUCAAAUAGAUGUGAAGACAAUUUUUUUAAAUGGAAAAUUAAAAGAAGACAUCUAUAUAGAUUAACUUCAAGGAUUUGUUGAAAAAUUCAAAAAAUAUCUUAUUUAUAAGUUAAAAAAAUCUUUAUAUAUGGUUAAAUAAUCACUAAAGAUAUGGUAGUAAUGUAUUGACACAUUCUUUGUGAAUAAAAGGUUUUUUAGGAGUGAAAUUGAUUAUUCAAUGUAUGUGAUGAAAUCAAAUGAGUUUUUAUUGAUUGUCAUGCUCUAUGUUAAUGAUUUCAUCAUCUUAAUCAUUACCUAAAAGGUGAUGGUUUAAUUAAAAAUAAAGUUAAAAAAAGAGUAUGAGAUGACUGAUUUGAAAGAGCUUCACUAUCUUUUAGGAGUAGAGCUUGUAAGAGAUUAUGCUAAGAAGACUAUUACAAUGAGUCAAAGCAAGUAUAUUAAAGAGAUAUUGAAAUAAUUCAACAUAGAGGACUGUAAGCCUAUUGGAACAUAUUUAGUGGCCAAUUUGAAGUUGAUGAAAUUUACGAAUGAAAAAUUUGGUGAAGUUGAAGGUGAAGUAUAAGGUAUUCUAUACAAGGUAGCAGUAGGCUUAUUUAUGUAUAUAAUGGUUGGCACAAAGAUGGAUCUUAUAUAUAUAAUAAGUGUUAUAAGCCAACACAUGUCAAAGACUAGAUCAAUCCAUUAGACAACCAUAAAAAUGAUCAUGAGGUACUUAAAAGGUACAUUAUAUUUCAAAUUGUGCCUUGGAGGUGAUAAUAUUACUUUGCAUGGUUAUUAUUAUGCAGAUUAGGCUAAAAAUACAAAUGAUAGAAGAUCAAAAAUAGAAUAUGUAUUUUUUGUGGAAUAAGAGUUAUUUCAUGGAAUUGCAAGAGACAACUAAUAAUUACAAGGUCAACAAUAGAAGCAAAAUAUAUAACAAAAAGCUAUAGUAUAAUAGAAAUAAUAUAGCUAAGAUAAUUUUUUGAGGACAUUGGAAUAAUACAAAUAGAAGCAAAUUCAAUAAAGUCUACCAAUCAAGAAUAUCUCAUUUUUAUGAAGAAUCCAAAGUAUCAUUCAAAGAUCAAGCACAAUGAUAUUCAACAUGACUUCAUAAGAGAGAAGAUUAAAAUAUAAGUGAUUGACAUGAGAUAUUAUGCAAUAAAAGACAUAUUUGUUGAUUUAUUGACAAAAUGUCAAAGACAUGAAUCUUGAAGAAAGAAAAUUCUCAAUACAUUAUUUUAUCAAUGAAGAAAACUAAAAAGUCACUCAAGAGGUGAUGUAAUAUUUAAUCAGAAUGGCUAUUGCCAAAAAUAAGAGAACUAAAAAAUCUUAGAAUAAGACUAAGGACUUGAAAGGUGUUGACAAGAGUGAAGAAGGCUUCAUUCUUGCCUCCUUAUAUACUUAUAACUAGAAGCUAUAUGGCAAUGUGCUAUAGGACUUCUAAAAUAUGUUGACUUUGCUAACCAUAUGUCUUAAUUUGUAAAGCAAGUUUUUUAUAUAUGUGCCACAUAAUUAGCUUCUUCUAUAAGCUACUGCAUUAAAUUAAUUUGUUUUAUAAGCUACUAACAUGUGGUUAGCUUGUUGGCCAAGUUUCUAAUCUACAAAUAUAUCUAAAGUCAAAACCGCAGCUAUGAAGCUUCUAGAAAACUUUUCUAAAAGACUUUAUGAAAUUAAUUUAUAUUUAUCUACUUCUAUCUAAUCAUAUAAGAAACUAUCUAGGUAAAUGUAUAUGUCCAUGAUAUUACUUCUUCUUCUAUGGACGAGUUCCAUGAGGAGUGGUCAUCAUCUUUCAUAUAACUUUGUAAUUCUUUAUCUUGAUUUUGAUGGAUGUCGUCGAUGAAAGGCCUCAACAUUUUUUUUUGCAUUUGCAAGAUUCUUUACUGGGUGCCAUGUACGUUUGCUAAGAUCAUAUUUAUGCUAAUGAAUAAGAUAUUCUAACCUAUUUUGAUGCUAUCUUGAAUCUAAGACUUCUUUCACCUCAAAUAUCAUAUGAUUGUACAAAGUCUUUUAUCGCCUUCUACAUUUGCGGCAACCAAAAAUCUCUAGAUAUAAGCUCUAAAGUCUUAUUAUAUCCAAAAUGUCCUGUUGUUAGAAAGUCAUGACAUGCUUGAAGAACAUAUAAAUGUGCUUCUCCUUCUGGAAUAUAUAAGCAUGUUUUGAAAUAGAAAAGAUUGUUCUCGAACUCGAACUUUGAAAUAAAGUGAAACUUAAAAGGAAGGUUCUUCAAAUCGUGAACAAGAGGAUCAAAGGACAUACUUAAUUAGAUUUGCUUGAUAAAGGUUGAAUCAACAAUUAAUGUUGACUUUAUUGCUCAAAGAUGAAAAUGCUCCAACUUUAAGAAAAUUAUUCUUUGUUGAUCAAAAGAUGCAUCUCUUUCUUUUGGUGCAAGAUAAGAACAUUUCAAAAGGACAUUUAAUAGACCUUGUUGUUUUUUGGAUUGAUAAGUAAUCUUGAAAUUGAAUCUGGACAAAGACAUACUCCAACGGGCUUCAUAACAAUUCAAAACACGUGUUGACAUGAAGUACUCAAGAUUCUUAUGAUCCGUAUACAUGAUAACUAGACUUGAAGCGUCUUUUAGAUAAUAAUGCCAUUCUUAAAAUGAAUCCAUGAUUCCAAGAAGCUUUUUGUCAUGAAUCUCGUUAAUUUUGGCUACUCAAAAUUUCUUGGAAUGAAAAGCUACUAGGUAGAGUUUAUUAUAUGUUCCCAUUUGGGACAAUAUGGCACCUAUAGCAAAGUCUAACACGUCUAUUUCCAUAAAAAAUGCCUUGAAAAAAUCAACACAAUAUAAGAUUGGUACUAAAGUAAACUCUUUUUUUAAAGUAUCAAAUUAUGCUUCUGCUUCUUUAUUCCACUCAAGUUUGUCUUUACAAGUCAAAUGUGUUAGUGGAGUUGUAACUUGAAAAAAGUUCUUGAUGAAGAUUUGGUAGUAAUUAAUAAAGCCUAAAAAUCAUUGUACAUCUCAUACUAUUCUUGAAAUCUUCUUAUCUAUGAUAGUUUGGACUUUUUUGGGAUCCAUCAUAAGGCCUUUGUUAGAAAUGAUGUAUCCUAAAAAGUCAACUUGAGUAGCAUGGAAUACACACUUUUCUAACUUGAGAUAAUUUUGUAUCUCUAAGUUUUUUAACAUACAACGAACAUGAAGUUUAUAUUCUUCUGUAUUCUUACAGUAGAUUAGAAUGUCGUCUAAAUAGCAAACAAAAAAUCAUCUAAAAAUUCACAAAAAAUAUCAUUCAUAAGAUGUUGAAAAGUGGUUGAUGCAUUUAUCAAUCCAAAAGAUACGAUAUUAUAUUCAAAAUAUCCAUACCUAGUUCAAAAAGUAGUCUUGUAUUCUUCUCGUUCUUUGAUAUGAACUAAGUUAUAUGCUCUUUGUAGAUCUAUUUUCGUAUAGAUCUUUGUUUGAUUGAGUUGGUCAAGAAGUCUUGAAAUCAAAGGCAAAGGAUACCUAUUUUUGAUGGUGAUCUUAUUGAAUCUUUGAUAAUCCACACACAUCCGUAAAGAUCCAUCUUUUUUCUUUACAAAUAAGAUAGGAGCUCUAACUAGAGAUUUAGAAUGGCAUAUGAAGUUCUUUGCCAAGUUUUCAUUAAUGUAUUCUAUUAAUGUAGCCAAUCCAUUUUACAACAAGCUAAAGAUUGAUCCAAGUAGUAGUUGAGCUCCUUCUUACAGAUCAAUUGAACAAUCAUAAGAUUGAUGUUUUAGAAGAAUAUCUUCAUUCUUUUUUUUUCAAAAAUAACUUAUAAUUCUUGAUAUUGGCUAGAAAUACCACUUGAUAUUUUUCCAUUAGUAGAAAUGAAUGUAGCAUAUAUAGCAAAAGAUGAUCCUUCUUUUGCGGCAUGUCUAAAAGCUCUUGCACCUACUAGUAAAGGUUUGGAUAUACUAGACUUUAUGUACUUCUACUUUAUUAACCCAAUUUUCGAUUAUACUACGAAAAAAGUUAAGAUUAUAAGAAAUCUAAUCUAUUUUAGAGUUAUAUUUUUCUAGCCACAAUAAUCCUAGAAUAAUCAUAUUAGAGAGAGAUCUUAUUAUAUUAAAUACUACUAUGCUGUUAUGAUCUUUAAUUGUUACAUCUAAAGGAACAAUCUCAUGGAUAACAUUUCUAGAAGACAACGAAUGACCAUCUAUGACUUCUACAUGUAUACAUUUAUUUUUCUUGAUUAAAGAUAUUUUUUGAUUUUUGACAAAAUCUUUGUCUAUAAAACACGUUGAGGUUCUUGAAUCUAAUAAGAUAAAGACUUUGUGAUUUUUAAGUCCUAAACAUACAUGUAUUAUAAAACAAGGUGAAGGAUCUGAGGAAAGAAUAAGACCUUUAUUAAGUAUUGCAUAUGAUUCCAGCUACAUAGUUCCUAUUAUAGUUGAAAAAACUUGUUUUCUGACACAUUAUCUUCUUUGGUAAUUGUGUUCUUCAUUUUGUAACUAUGUUGCUUCUUUGGACAAUAUUGAGUAGUGUGCUUAGUUUCUCCAUAAUAUAAAUACAAACCUUCUUAGCGAUGUCGAGUUUUUUCCUACUCCAUAAUGGUUUAAAACAUAUUGUAUCAAUUUGAUUUGGUUCCAUCCUUAAUGAAUAUGUUUCAGUAAACUUCAAAGUUGCUGCCAUUACGUAACUUGUUCCUCUCCAGCCAAGUCUUUGUUCUUGAUGCCUUUCAAAUAAUUGCUUGUUGCAUGCAAUGGCUCGAGUAAUAAAUUGUUUCAAAGAUUUUGCUUUUGAUAUUAUUAAUAACAAAUCUUCAAUGCUAUCUUUCAACCCAUAUCAAAAUUGAUUGAUAAGUGCUUUUUCAUUUCAGUCCACAUUGCAAGAAAGGUUUUGGAAUUUAGCAGCAUAUAUGGUGGCUGACCGUGAUUCUUGUCAUAAAGUUAAGAGUUUGGUCUCUAUUACUCUUUCUCAAUCAAUUUCUUCAAAUGUGGCCAUAAAUACUUCUAAGAAUGAAUUCAAAUCAUAAAAAAGUCGUAAAUCUUUCUCCAUUAAAUGUACAAAUCAAGAGAGAGCAUUUCUUGAUAGAAGUGUACCUAUGAAUCUGACUUGAAUAAAUCCAUCGAAAUAUUUGGAAAGAUGUAACCUUAAAUAGAGCUUGAAUUGUUGCAAAAAUCCUUGAAAUUUUAAUCUUGUUCUAUCGAAGUUCUUAGGCAUACUAAUCCUUGCUCUUAUCAUACUUAUAGGAGGAAAAUUUUCUAGAUUUGGUUGUAAGGUCAAUCUACUUCCUUCCUUUAACUGCACAAUUUCUUACUACAUACUUUGAACUUUUUCUAUAGGCAUAGGUAUAGUAUUUCCAUGAUUCACGUUGGAAAUACAUGAGAUUUUUACUCUUAGGAUAUUGAUAAGUUCAUGAAGAUCUGUAAUAGUUAUAAAUCUAUUUUCACUUCCAUUAAAAGUGGCAUCCAUAAUUUUUUCUUCUAUAAAUAAUUCAAAUAAAUUUAAAAAAUUAAAUUAAAAGAAAGUAAUCCGUAACUUCUAAUAAAAAUUUCCACAAAGAUGGAUAAUCCACUCUCUUAAAAGAAAAGAUUAGAAUUAAAAAAUAAGAUUUUUUGCUUAAAGGUGGAUGGUCUGUAACCUUCAAAACACAACAAUAGAAGUGAGAUAAUCCACUCACUUCUAAAACAAGACAAAAACAGUAUGUUAGUACUCUUGUCAAAUUAUCAAGGAUAUGAAUCUUGAAGAAAGAAAAUUCUCAAUACAUUCUUGUAUCACUGAAGACAACUAAAAAGUCACUCAAGAGGUGAUAUAAUAUUUAACUAGAAUGGCUAUUGCCAAAAACAAGAAGACUAAAAAGUCUUAGAACAAGAUUAAGAACUAUAAAGGUGUUGACAAGAGUAAAGAAGGCUUCACUCUUACCUCAUAUACUUAUAAUUAGAAGCUACGUAGCAAUAUCCUAUAGGACCUCCAAAACAUGUUGACUUUGCUAACCACAUGUCUUAACUUACAAAGUAAGUUAUCUAUGUAUGCGCCACAUAGUUAGCUUCUUCUACAAGCUACUACAUUGAAUUAACUUGUUCUACAAGCUACUAACACAUGAUUAGCUUGUUGGUCAAGUUUCUAACCUACAAAUAAAUCUAAAGUCAAAACCACAUCUAUAAAGCUUCUAAAAAACUUUUCUAAAAGACUUUAUGAAGUUAAUCUAUAUUUAUCUAUCUUUAUCUAAUCAUAUAAGUAACUAUUGAGAUAAAUGUAUAUGUCCAUGACACAAAGAUAUUAUUAAAGGAUAGGCAUCACAUAUUGACAAAGAUGUUAGAAUUAAAAGCUUUUAACAAAUAGCAAAGUGAGAGUAUUAAAAUAAAUAAAUAAAAGUGAAAGUAGAAUAAAUUAUCUUAUAGAAAAUAUUAUCUUAAGUAAAUUAUUAAUAGUCAAAGUAUUGAUUCUUGAUAUGUAAAAAAGACAUCAUAUGGAUACAAGAUAAGGUCAAGGGCCGAGAGUCAAAGUCAAGAAGAUAAAUUAUCAAUUAAAAAAUAUCCAAAGACUAAAUAAGAAUAAUUAAUAUUUGGUAUAAAAUAUCUUUUUAAUUAAUAAUAUGUCAAAAGAUCCUAAGACCAUAAGAUAUUGUCAUAGAAAUAUAUUUAUUGUAAUUGUUACCUUGAUAAUAUGAAUAGAUAGAAGUAGGUAAAAUAGAUUAAUUUCAUAAUAUCUUUUAAAGAAGCUUCUUAGAAGCUUUAUAGAUGUUGCUUUAAUUUUAUAUGUAUUUUUAAUUAAUUAAGAGGUUAGAAACUUAGUCAACAAGCUAAUUACAUGUCACACAUGUUGGUAGCAUAUAGAACAAGCGAACUAUGUGGCACCCAUAUAAAAAACUUACCUUGUAAGUUAAAAUACAUGUGUUACAAAGUUAGAGGUCCUAUAGAACGUCGCCAUAUAGUUCUUGUGCAGAUAGUAUAUAUAGAGGUAAGAAUGAAGUCUUCUUUACUAUUAUCAAUUCUUUUCUUGUUUUUAGUGUAGUUUCAAGAAUCUUCACUUUUUUUGUCUUUUGGCAAUAGCUAUUUUAAUUUCUUUUUAAUAUAGAUAUUUUAUUAUUUUUAUUUUUUCAUACUUCUUAAAAAAAAUCUCACUUAUUUAUUUGCUUUUAUCGAGUUUUUUUCCUUAACAAAUUGACAAGAAUACACUUAUAAUAUCAAAGCUUUGUCUUUUUUUGAUUAAAAAUGGAUUAUCUCUUUAAAUUGAUAAUACAUAUGUAUAUUUGAAGUUAUGGAUUAUCUUCUUUUAAAAUAAUAUUAUUUUUUUUUAUUUUCAAGUUCUUUCAUUUACAUGUCUUGAGUAAUAUUAUAUAUCUUUUUUUUUCUAAGUAUUAUUAUAGCAAAGCUUAUUAAAAUAAAGAGUGCAAUGGUAUAAAUAUAAGUACAAUUAAAGGAGGUAAUGCUUACAAUGCAUCAACUCAAUUUAUCACUACAAAAAAAAACAAAAAAAACAAAAAAAAACAAAAAUCAAGGUAUAAAGAUGAUUUAGACCAAAUCAUAUCCUUUCUCCUAUAGUAGAAUAUUAUUCAAGCACUAAAGAACUAAAAAUUGCCUUACUUGAAAAGUUUGAUGGUAGAAGAUUAAAGUUUUGAAUAUUCAUCAAUAAAAUACACCUAACAAUUAAACUUCAACCUCAAAGCUAUCCAACUCCAACAUCACAAGUAAACUUUAUUAAAAUUCUAUUUUUUUAGUUUUGUACUAUCAUAGUUUUUAUCUUUUCUUCAACGACAUGAUCUAAUAUUGAUAAUUUGAAAGCUUUCUUGAGAGAGUUUCAAUCCAUGUAUGGAAGACAUGAUGCAAUUUGUAUUGCAAUAAAUAAGAUUCAUGUUUUAUGACAAAAAAACCAAUCUGUAAUAUUAUAUGUUUUAUAAUUUAUACAACUUUUAAUUGAUAUCAUGUAAAAUGAAAUUACACUCAUUAGCAAAUUUCUUUUUAAAUUAUAAUAUGUGAUAAAAAUUAAUUUACUUAAUCCUCAAACAUUGAAUCAGGUAAUUGAUUUUGCUAUAAAGUGUCAUAAUCAACUUUUUGAAUUUUGGUAUAAGAAUCAUAUAAGUAAGCCUCAAUAUUAAUACAAUUAAAUGGAAACACUAACUUCAUUUUAAUACAUACCUUCAAAAGUAGAGGAUAUGCAAAUUAAUGCAAUACAUUGUCCAAGUAGAGAGAAUUUGCCUUAAGAAAGCAAUGGGCUUCUAGUUGUCACUAAUUACUCAAAAAAGUCUCAAGAUAAAAAAAAAAAUACCAAGUUUAUAUAUAAAAUUAUUCCUAUAAGUGCAAGUACAUCAAUACAUAAGCCUUAAGUACCAAAGAUCACCAAAAAUAUAAUAAAAAUAUUAUAAAAACUUAUAUAUCCUUAAGGUGAAUUUUUUUCAAACUUCAACACCUCAUAUCUCACGAUCAAGCCAUCCAAACAAACCAAAAUUUUACAUGAAGUAUUGACGUACUUUCAACAACUACUACAACAAAUUUUAAUUAGAAAUUUAUUACGGAACUUAAGAUAUUGCCAAAAUCCUAAUGAUAGCUUUAAAUCCUUGCUUAUAUAUAUAUAUAUAUAUAUAUAUAUAUAUAUAUAUAUGAAAAUUUCUUCAUAUCUCACAAAUUAAAUAAUCAAAUACCAUAAAAUUUUAAUAUAUAAUUUUUUAACCUAAUAACAUAUACUUUUAGAAAUUUUGAGCCAAAAAUCCAUCCAAAAACUCAAGAUAUGGCUCCAACCAUUACUAUCAACAAAACGAGUUACUUACUGCCUUUGAAUUACAUAUAUUGUCUUUAAUAUUGUAUAAUUCCUUCAUUAAAACUCUAAAUACAAAAAUUCUUUCAUAAAAGAUGUAGAUCUUAAAAUUAUCCUUGUGGCGGCACCUUUUGAUUUCCAAAUUCUAUCAUAAAACUUCUUAUAUCUUCAAAUGAGUAAUAAUAUAUCUAAAAAAGAUAUCUUAACUUCAAAUGGCUAUAAUUUCAUCAUCCUAACUUCAAAUCCUCUAAACUUUGUAUAAAAAUUAUAGUCCAAAUCUUAAAUCUUAUAAUCUUUAUUUUUUAUUUUCAAAUGUUUCUUUUGAAGUUGCCAAAAUCCUUGUUAUGGUUGCAGAUAGCUUGUUGAAUGCUUAUUGGACAUGGCUUUUGAUCAAUAGGGAUGAAAAUCUUCACCUUUUACUUUCAUCCAUCUAUAUCUUGCUUUCAUUCCUCCAAAUAAGUUUUUUAAAGAUUUGGAUCUUUAUCUUUGAGUUCCAAUCUUUUCCUUAAAUUUUAUACUAAAUAUCUAAAUCCUACAUAAUUUAAAUAAUAUAAUCAACAUAAAUAAAUCUCAAAAUAAAUUUUCUUACAUUAAUUUUCUUUAAAUUAACCUAUUAACUACUUAAAUGCACAUCAAUAUUUAUAAAUAUAUUAUAUAUUUUAUUUAAUUUUUAUAUAGUAUAAAUAAUUAUAAUAUGAUAAUAUUUCAAAUUUCUUACUAAGUAAGAAAAGACUUCUCAUUAUUAAAAAGGAUCGUAUUUAUAUUAUAGAGAACCAAAGCACAUUACUCAACAAUAUCCAAAGAAAGAACAUUAUCAUGAAAUAAAAAGUGUAACUGUCAAAGAAGACAAUAUAUUAGAAAAAAAAAAAUUUAGCUACAAUAGAGAUUGUGCAGUUGGAAACUUGUACAACACCUAAUGAAGGUUCUAUUGUCUAUUCAAAAUCUUCUUUUUGUUUUAUAAUAGAUAUUAGUUUAAGACCUAAAUAUCACAAAGCCUUUGCUUUAGUAGAUUUAAGAGCUUCAUCUUAUUUUUUAGAUGUAGAGAUUAUUGAAAGACAUACCAUACUAUUUGUAAAGAAAACAAAACAUGUUCAUGUAGAAGUCAUAGAUGGUCAUCUGUUGUCCUCAAGAAACAUUACUCAUAAAAUAUUUCUUCUAAAAGUAGUAAUUAAUGGUCAUAGUAGUUUUGUAGUAUUUAAUAUCAUUAGAUCUCUUUCUAAAUUAGUCAUUUUAAAUUUAUUAUGAUUAAAAAAGUAAAAUCUUCAAAUAGAUUAGAUUUCUUAUAGUCUUAAUUUUUUUAAAAUUAUAAUUAAGAGUAUAGUUAAUCAAGUAGAAAGUCAUAAAUCUAGUACAACCAAACUAAUAUGUGUGGAUACAAGAGCUUUUUUGCAUGUUGCAAAAAAUGAUCACCUUGUAUCAUUUAUGCUAUACUUAUUUUUAAUAGUGGAAAGACUUCAAAUGAUAUUUUAAAUUAGUAUCAAGAUUUUCAAGAUGUAUUUGAAAAGAAGCAUGAAAAUAUUCUUUUAGAACAUUAUUCCUAUGAUUGAUCAAUUAACCUUUAAGAAAGAACUUAGUUGCCAUUUGAAUUGAUCUAUAAUUUAUCAUAAAAUGAAUUGCCUAAAUUCAAAGAAUAUAUUGAAGAAAAUCUAGCCAAAAACUUCAUAUGCUAUUCCAAAUCUCUAGCAUGAGUUCUAAUUUUAUUUAUAAAAAAAAAAAAAAAAAAAAAAAAAAAAAAAAAAAAAUGAUCAUUGUAGAUGUCUAUCAAUUAUUGAAGGCUCAAUAAGAUCACCAUCAAGAACAUGUAUUUGCUACGUUAGUUAUUUGGUCUUCUUCAUUAAUUGAAUUAAGCUGAGAUCUAUAUAAAAAUAGAUCUAUAAAAGGUAUAUAAUCUAGUACUUAUUAAAGAAAGAAAUAAAUAGAAAACUUUAUUUUAAAUCAAGUAAAGACAUUUUCAAUAUAAUAUCAUUUCUUUUGAACUUAUAAUUGCAUCAGUAGCUUUUCAACAUCUGAUGAAUAAUUUCUUUUGAGAGUUUUUAAGAUGAUUUUAUUAUUUUUUGUUUAAAUAACAUCUUAAUCUAUUUUAAGAAUAUAGAAGAAUAUGAACUUCAUAUUUGUCAUGUAUUACAAAAACUAAGAGAUGCAAAACUCUAUGCCAAGAUAAAUAUAUAUAUAUAUAUAUAUAUAUAUAUUACUCUAUUGAAGUUGAUUUUUUAGGAUACAUUAUUUCAAAUGAUAGAUUUAUGACAGAUCUUUAAAAAAAUUCAAACUAUUAUGGAUUAAAAGAUCUUAAAUAUGAUAAAAAAACAAUUCCAAUUAUUUAUAGAAUUUUUCAACUACUAUUAAAUCUUUAUUAAGGACUUCUUUUAAGUUGUAGCUCAAUUUAUGUAUUUGACUUGUAAAAACAAACUUAAAUGGAAUAAAGAAGCAAAAGAAGUGUUUGAAGCUUUAAAAAAAGCUUUUGUUUCUAUACCAAUCUUAUAUUAUAUUAAUUUUUUUAAGCCAUUUUGUAUGAAAAUAGAUGCAUCAAACUUUGUUUUAAGUGCUGUAUUGUCACAAACAGGAACAAAUGAUAAACUUAACCUGAUAGCUUUUGUCACGGAUAUAUGCAUGUAACCCAGUAAAUACAUGUAUAAAUAUAUAGAAGUAAGUAAAAAUAAGUAAAAAUAAGUUAAUUCUAUAGUAUUUAAUAUGGAAGCUUUUCAGAAGCUUCAUAGACAUUGCUUUGACUUUAUAGGUAUCUUUAAUUGACUUUUUGGAUUAGAAACGUGGUCAACAAGUUGGCCAUGUGCCACACAUGUUGUUAGCUUGAAGACCAAGCUAACUAUGUGGCCCACACUUAGAAAAACUUGCAUUGUAAGUCAAGACAUGUGUCCUACAAAGUCAACACAUAUUGGAGGUUCUAUAGAACGUUGCCAUAUAGCCCUUAGUUAGAUAGUAUAUAUAGAGACAAGAGUGAAGCCUUCUUCAUUCUUGUCAACUCCUUUCUUACUUCUAGUCUAGUUUCAAGGAUCUCUAGUUUUCUUGGCUUUUGGCAAUAGCCAUUCCAAUUUCUUUCUUAAUAUACAUAUCAAUUUAUUUAUAUUUUACCAUCUUUCUUUGAGAGAAGUCUUACUUAUUUAUUUGUUUUUAUCAUAUUCUUGUCCUUGACAGAUUGACAAGAUAAUACUUACAAUAUCAGAGCUUUGUUUAAUCUUGAUUAAGAAUAGAUUACUCCUUUCUCUUGAUAAGACAUAAGCAUAUUAAAAGUUACAAAUUACCCUCUUGUAAAUUGAUAUUGUCCUUAGUAUUUUCUUUGUUCUCAAGUCCUCUCUUCUAUUUGUUUUGAGCGAUAUUAGACAUCUUCUCUUUUUUAAGUGUUAUCAUGGCAGAACUUACUGAAAUGAAGAAUACAAUAGCACAAAUGUAAGAGCAAUUGAGGGAGUUAAUACUUGCGAUGCAUCAACUCAAUUUACCACCACAAAGAGCAAUAAGAUUGGCACGAAGUGAAGAUAUAGAAAUGAUUGGAGUUGCUUCAACAUCUGUACCAAAUCAUAUCCCUUCUCCUAUGGUGGAACGCCCUUCCAGUAUUAGAGAACCAAGAAUUGCCCUACCCAAGAAGUUUGAUGGCACCAAAUCAAAGUUUUGAGGAUUUAUCAAUCAAGUACAACUUAUGAUUAAACUUCAACCCCAAAGCUAUCCAAUUCUAGGAUCGUAAGUUAGAUUCAUUAGUACGCUUCUUUCACGUUCAAUAAUAUCAUGAUUUUUAUCUUUUCUUGAACAACAAGAUCCAAUAUUGGAUAAUCUAGAGGCUUUUUUGGUAGAGUUUUGAUCCAUGUAUGGAGAACAUGAUGUAAUUCAUGUUGCAACUAAUAAGAUUCAUAUUUUACUAUAAGAUAAUCGAUCAGUAAUGUUGUGUGCUUUACAAUUUUGAAAACUUGCAACUGAUAUCAAGUAGGAUGAUACUGCACUUAUUAGCCAAUUUUUCAACGGAUUACAAUAUGAGGUAAAAAAAUUAAUGCUCAACUUACUUGAUCCUCAAACAUUGAGUCAAGCAAUUGACUUUAUUGUAAAGUGUGACAAUCGCCUUUUUGAAUUUUGAUCUAAGAACCAUACAAGUAGACCUCAAUAUUACUAUGAUUCAAUAGCAACACCAACAUCUCUUCAAUACAUACAUUCGGAAGUAGAAAAUAUACAAAUUGAUGCAAUACGUUUCAAACCUCUUAUUGAGCAAGAAAAGACUUGCCAUCGUCAAGAAAGAUUGUACUUAUAUUAUAAAAAACUUAAGCACACUGCUCAAUAUUGUCCAAAGAAAUGAUGCAACUAUAAAAUGAGGUAUACGGCGAUCAAAAGAGAUAGCAUGUCAAAAAACGAAUUUGUCCAAUUACAAUAGGGAUCGUGCAGUUGGAACCUUGUACAAUGCCUAGUGAAGGUCCUAUCUUCUCCUCAGAACCCUCUCCAUGUUUUACGAUAAAUGUUAUUCUAGGACCUAAAUAUCUCAAAGCCUCUACCUUACUAGAUUCAGGAGCCUCAGCAUGUUUCUUAGAUGAAAAAUUUGUUAAAAGACAUAGCAUAUUUUUAAUAAAGAAAAUUAUCAUGUUCAUGUAGAAGUCAUAGAUGGUCGUCUGUUGUCUUCAAGAGAUGUUACUUAUGAAACCCUUCCUAUAGAAAUAGCAACUAAUGGUCAUAGUAGCUUUGUAAUAUUUAAUAUCAUUAGAUCUCCUUUUAAUCCACUCAUUUUAGGUUUAUCAUGGCUAAAAAAAUAUAAUCCUAAAAUAGAUUGGAUUUCUUGUAGUCUUGAUUUUUUUGAAAGUAUAACUAAGAGUGUAGUUAAUUAAGUAGAAAGUCAUAAGUCUAGUAUAAUUAAACCUAUAUUUGUAGGUAUCAGUGCUUUCUUGCAUGCUACAAAAGAAAGAUCCCCUUAUGUCAUUUAUGCCACACUCGUUUCUACUGGUGGAAAGGCUUCAAGUGGCAUUCCAAGCUAAUAUAAAGAUUUUCAAGAUGUAUUUGAGAAAAAGAAUGUGAAUACUCUUCCAAAACAUCAUUCCUAUGACUGUUCAAUUGACCUUCAAGAAGGAGCACAACCGCCAUUUGGACUAAUCUACAAUUUAUUUCAAAAUGAGUUGGCUAAACUCAAAGAGUAUAUUGAAGAUAAUUUGGCCAUAAACUUCAUACGCCAUUCCAAAUCUCCAGUAGGAGCUCCAAUUUUAUUUGUGAAGAAAAAAGAUGGAUCAUUGUGGAUGUAUGUUGAUUAUUGAGGACUCAACAAAAUCACUAUAAAAAAUAGGUACCUGCUACCUUUGAUAUCUGAACUUCUUGAUCAGUUGAAUCAAGCUAAGAUCUAUACAAAAAUAGAUCUACGGGGCGCAUAUAAUUUGGUACACAUCAAAAAAAGGAGAUGAAUAGAAGACUACGUUUCAAACAAGGUAUGGACAUUUUGAAUACAACAUCAUGCCUUUUGGACUUACAAAUGCACCAACAGCAUUCUAACAUCUAAUGAAUGAUGUCUUUUGGAAGUUUUUAGAUGAUUUUGUUGUCUAUUACCUAAACGACAUCUUAAUCUAUUCUAAGAACUCAGAAGAAUAUGAACUUCAUGUUUGCCAAAUAUUACAAAAAAUAAGAGAUGUAAGACUCUAUGCCAAGAUAGAAAAGUGUAUAUUUCACACUACUCAAGUUGACUUCUUAGGAUACAUCAUUUCAAAUGAUGGACUUAUGAUGGAUCCUAAGAAAAUUCAAACUAUUAUGGAUUAGAAGAUUCCAAAAAUGGUAAGAGAUGUCCAAUACUUUUUGGGAUUUGCUAAUUACUAUCAGAUCUUCAUCAAAGACUUCUCUCAAGUCGCAGCUCCACUUACACGUUUGACUUGCAAAAACAAACUUCAAUGGAAUCAAGAAGCAGAAGUAGCAUUUGAAGUUUUGAAGACAACCUUUGUUUUUGUACCAAUCUUGUAUUGCGUCGAUUUUUCUAAGCCAUUUUUUAUGGAAAUAGAUGCAUCAAACUUUGCUUUGGAUGCCGUAUUGUCACAAAUGGAAAUACAUGAUAAACUUCAUCCAAUAACUAUUCAUUCCAAAAAAAUUUCAACAAUCGAGAUCAACUAUGAGAUCCAUAACAAAGAACUUCUUAUAAUCGUGGAUUCAUUUUAAGAAUGAUGCCAUUAUCUAGAAGGUGCUUCUAGCCUAGUCACAAUGUAUACAAAUCACAAGAAUCUUGAAUAUUUUAUGGCAGCACAUGAUUUGAAUUAUCGCCAAGUUCGCUGAAGUAUGAUUUUAUUAAGAUUCGAAUUCAAGAUCACUUAUCGACUAGAAAAAAAACAAGGUUUAUCAGAUGUACUCUCUACACGAUCUUACCUUACACCAAAGGAAAGAAAUGCUGCUUUUGAUUAACAACGGAUAAUUCUCUUGAAGCCAGAGCAUCUUCAUCUUCGAGCAAUGAAAUCAAUACUAACUAUUGAUUCAACUUUCAUUAAGUAAGUUUAAUUAAGUAUGUCUUUUGAUCCUCUUAUUCGUGAUAUUAAGGAAAAUCCUUCAAAGUCUCAUGAUACUUCCAAGUUUGAAUUCAAGAAGAAUCUACUAUAUUUUGAGAGAUGCCUAUAUGUUCUAGAAAGUGAAGCUUGAUUACGUAUUCUUCAAGCUCGUCAUGACUUUCUAACAGUAGAACAUUUUGGGUACAAUAAAACUUUGGAACUAAUAUCUAGGAAUUUUUCAAGGGCAUAAAUGUGGAAAGCAAUUAAAGAUUUUGUACAAUCUUAGGAUGUUUGCUCGAGAUCAAAAACUCCUCAUCAUUGACCUUACGGACUUCUUCAACCAUUAUCCAUUCCAGAACAACCAUGGUCUUCUAUUUCUAUGGAUUGCAUCAUAGAUCUUCCAAUUUCAAGUUUUUAUGACUCUAAAUUCAUGAUAGUAGAUCAUUUCACCAAGAUGGCACAUUUUGUACUAUAUACAAAAUCUAUCACAGGUAAAGAAACAGCUAAGCUCUUUCUCGAUAAUAUCUAUUACUAUCAUGGAUUAUCCAAAGAUAUUAUAUCAGAUAUGGGAAUUCAAUUUGUAUCAAGAUUUUGGCGGACUCUUUUCAAGAUUCUAAAAGUGGAUAUAAAACUAUCUUCAACAUUCCAUCCUCAAAUUGAUGGACAAACGGAGCGUGUUAAUCAAGUUUUGGAGCAGUAUUUAAAAUGUAACAUUAACUACCAACAAGAUGAUUGGACAACUCUUUUGCCAUUGGUAAAGUUUGCUUACAAUAAUACAAUACAUUUUUCUACAAAACAAACACCUUUCUUUGCCAAUUAUGGUUAUCAUCCAUGACUUGAUACUUUUGACUUUUUAAAAGUUGUUAAUCUUGUUGCGAAAGUUUUGGCAAUUCAUUUAUCAGAACUACAUGCAACGAUAAAGGUACAGUUAAAAGAAGCUCAAGAACAAUAAAAGGUCAAUGUGGAUGUCUAUCGAAAGGAACAACUACCAUUCUACAUGGGUGAUGAGGUAUGAUUACUUUAUUGCAAUAUCAAGAUCACUCGUCCUUGUAACAAGAUGGACUAUCAAAGGCUUGGAUCAUUUUCUAUUUCUGCAUAAAUCAAUCCAGUUGCAUAUCGUUUACACCUACUGGAGUCAAUGAAAAUCCAUCUGGUGUUCCAUGUGUCUCUUUUUGAACCAUACAAGACAAUGGACAUACCAAAAAGAAGAGAAGCUCCACCUCCUCCUAUAGAAGUGGACAAUAAUGAAGAGUUUGAAAUAAAAGAAAUCUUAGAUUCAAGGUGGCACUGAAAUAAAUUGAAAUAUCUUAUCCAUUGAUACAGAUAUGAUAUUAGUGAACGCACAUAAGAGCCAAUAAAGAAUCUUGCAAAUAUAGCAAAGGUGGUAGAGGCUUUUCAUCGACGACAUCCAUCAAAAUCAAGAUGAAAACCUUUUUUAUAAAAGAAACAAGAUCUAGGCAAGAUAAUAUUCUAAUUCGAAUACUUGUUUGUAGCUUUUUUGUAGUUGUGACACUCAUGAGAUGGAGAACCAGCAACCAAUGGAUUCGACUCAAGAGCCUUCAUUUGUUGACUUGUUGGACGAGAUAUUAUGAUUGUCACAACCUUCAAGA